GGCAGGACAAGAACAGGAAAUAUAAAAGGCGGGCCUUGUAGCUCAGUUGAGUGGAAACUGUUGAGUGAGACAGAUAUGCCCUGCUUGCUGCAGGAGCCUGAGCCUGCAGGAGAUUUCUGUGCAGGAGGCCCCUGACCUACCCGAACAGCCAGACAUGCCUGACACCGAGGAGUUGCUGGGACUGCUGCUUGCAGUGUACCCUAGGGAGAUGGAGGAUGACCCUUGGAUGCAGUUGUAAAUUUUUCAAGCCUCCCUACUCCGUCCCGAAGGCUAUCUCAGAUAAGGCGGCGGAAAAAAAAGACGCGAGAAGAAAUGUUUUCGGAAAUCAUGGAAGUGACCCGCAAUGAAAGAGCUCAUCUGAAUGAGUGGAAGGACGUGGUAGCAAAGUACAGGAAAGAUGCCAGUGACCGUGAGGACAGGAGGGACCAACGUGAGGACAGGAGAGAUGCUUGAGAUGAGAGGUGGCGGCAGGAAGAUCAGCGGUGGCGGGAUGCAACUCUGGGGCUGCUGCAUGAUCAAACUGACAUGCUCUAGCAUAUGGUGGAGCUUCAGGAACGGCAGCAGGGUCACAGAGUGCCGCUGCAGCCCCUGUAUAACCACCCUCCCCCCUCACCAUGUUCCUUAGCCUCCUCACCCGCCAGACGAGUAAGAACUCAUGGGGGUAGGCUCCGUGCACCCGCCCACUCCACCCCAGUGGACAGCCCAACCAAAAGGCUCUCAUUAUUAUGAAAUUUUUUUAGUGGCCUUUUCCUUCCCUACUAUUCUCCUCCCAAACCCCACCCGGGCUACCUUGUCAGUUCUCUCCCUCUUUUUAUAAUUAAGUAAUAAAGAAUACAUGAUUUUUAAA